UUGAUAUCAACGGUGAUGAGCCUCUUAUAUAUAAUGGCAUUUGAUGAUUGCCAUAAUGAACUUGACUCAUUUUUCUUCCAUCUUUUGAACUCUUUAGAAUCUGAGAUUUUUUGUCUUCCUUUCUCCUUCGUCUCUUUCGUCUUCUUUGUGUUUUCCUUGGAACUUCUGUGAUUUAGGGUUUGUAUUCUGUCUGAAUAAGUGAAUCUAAGUGAUUCUUGAAUGAGGAAAAAGGGUUUAUAUCUGUUUUGGGGCUUUUUUCUUUGGUCGAAGUAACCUCGUUCUAUUUUCUAUGUGGGUUUGGAUAUUUUGGUGCUUUACUUUUGUGCAGAAGGGUACAAUCAAAUGUUAGAUUUGUUUUGUAACAUUUAACAGUGAAUGAUUUGGGAUGCUUUGUGUGUAUUUUUUGAUUUCUUGGUAUAGUAGUGGUAUCAGAGCCUUUAGAGGCAUUAGGGCUUCGUUCGACGGUGAUCUAUUUGUGAAAAAUCAUUUUCACAGCGAGAUCUGAAUAGAUCUGUGUGAUCGAAACCCUAGAUCUAUUUCAACUACAGAUCGUACAUAUCUUUGUUUACCUUUUUUUUUUUUUUUACUGAUGACUAAACUAACGAUUGUUCACUUUGGCUGUCUCGUUAGUUUCUUACAGGUUGACCUUUGCAAACUGAGUGUUCGUGAUUGAUUCUUAGAUGACCAAACAGUAUUCUUGAGGCUUUCUUGGUUAUUGGUAGUCAUAACUAAUGACUACUUCUUUUUUGCUUUGAGGCAAUUUUCCCUUAUUUUUUCAAAUCUAGAUUUCCCAGUUUUAUAUAUAUAUAUAUAUAUAUAUAUAUUGUGGUACCGUAAAUUGCUACAUUCUUCGAUAGAUUUCAUGUAUACAAUAACAUACUUGUGUAGUUAAAUUUUGUGAACUACAUUCGCUUAUUGGUUCUGUUUGACACAUUCAUUAUAUCCCCUUCAACUUCUGGUUCUGAUGCCCCAAUUUGAGCCUUGACCUGAGGACGUGAUCUUCAUAGAAUCUUGGUGAAUUUAGGCAUUUGGGGCCUGAAGUGCAUUAUGUUGAAUAUACUAUCAUUUCUUAUUAUUGUUAAUACUCUGUGUGUUACUGUUUUCUUGAUUCUUAAAGCUACUUGAUACUUAAUAAUCUUGGCCGACUCUUAGUGUUGUCAAACUUUAUUCUAUAUCCACAUGUUUUCUGUUGAACAUUGUAACUACAAAUAAUUUUCUCGUGUUGAUUUUGAACUCCAAAUGUCGACUACUAAGUUUGAACUUAGGGGUUUAAAUGGAAAAUGGGACUUCCCUAUUUGACAGCAAAAGAUGAAAUGGG
rnacentral:lncRNA from 1 species